UCUGUCUUUUAGUUUAUUGAAAGGUGAAGUGUUUGCUGUGCUCCAAAGAACUUUAAUACAGCAACAACACCUCAUCUAUGCUCAGGCCUUACAGAGCCCUGCGCGAAAACAAGGAGGCUAUCCAAGGUGGACCAAGCUCAGGGAGAGGAAUGAUGUGGAUGAGGCCUUGGUCAACAUGGUGAUUCCCAGCCCUUCACUAUUGUGGAGGACAGUGGGUUUAGAAAGCUUGUUAAAGCUUUGAACCCUAACUAUGUUCUCCCCACAAGUCAGGCUUUGAAAGCUAUGGUGGACCAAAGAUACAAAGAGUCCAAACUAAAAGAAAAACUGACUGUGGCAAAGGCUUCUGCAGUUAGUUUGACAUCUGAUAUGUGGACCUCCAUUAACACAGAGGCUUACCUAGCUGUCACCUGCCAUUUCACCGAUUCUAGCACUGCAUUGCAUUCUGUGGUGUUAGGUGUUCAGCACUUCCCUAAAGCAAAUACUACUAUCAAUUUGUCCCAAGUAACAGCAGCGCUCAUGUCAGAGAAAGUUACAUGUUAUGUGACUGAUGGAGCAGCAAACAUGGGUGCUCAUGCAAAGGAACUUUGUUUGUGUCACAGUAAUUGUGAGGCGCAUACAUCGAACCUAAUGGUCAAAAGCUCUUGAUCAACACACCACGCUGUCUGAGAUCCAGACCACCUGUAGGAGGAUAGUGGGAUAUUUCAACGUUUGUUCCAUUAUUUCAUUACUGCUUUAAACACUUAAACCCCCGGAGAGC